CCCAGGCUGGACAUGCUGACUGUCCCUUCCCCUCUGGCCUUUGGCCUCGGCUUUUCUAGCCUAUUUACCCGCAGGCUGAGCCACUCUCUUCCCUUUCCCCAGCAUCACUCCCCAAGGAAGAGCCAAGAUUUUCCACCCAUAAUCCUUUUUGCUGACCCCUAGUUCCCUCUGCUCAGCCAAGCUUGUAUCAGCUCUCAGGGUCAUGGUUAGAAUAAAAGGUAGUAAGUAGAA